rnacentral:ncRNA from 1 species
AUGGUAGAGGCGCGGUGCUUAUGAGUCCCUUUCUCCAAGGUCUUGCAGCCGGAGAGAGCAAAAGGAAACGCCGCCGAAGCCCGAAAAGAAUGCAAGGUCUUUUCCCGCUGGGCCGUCAGAGAACAUCUGCCGGACUGUCACGUUUAUGUGGAGCGCUAUCGUA